rnacentral:lncRNA from 1 species
CCCCUCUCCCUUCUUUUGAUGAGUCCUUUUCUCUGCACAGAGCCUCUGUUGAAGUUAGUGGGAGUUGUUCUUGUAGAACACAUGGGAUUCCAAUACCUGGCAGAGUUCCAGAGUCUUGUUGCCAUGGUAACUCACUUUUUUUUUUUUCCCUCUCUGAAAUUUUGCCAGAUCCUAAAGAUCUUUGUGGACAAUCUCUUUGCCAUCGUCUUGCUAAAGCAGGCCACGGCUGUGCGCUGUUUGGACAUGAGUGCCUCCCGUAAGAAGCUGGCCGUGGUGGAUGAAAAUGACAUGUGCCUGGUGUAUGACAUCCAUACCAAAGAGUUGCUUUUUCAGGUGAAAUCCCAGAGUUUCCAUGACAUGGUCCUUUGACUUCUUUUUUAGCUUCCUAGUUCCUGCAGGAGGUGCUCCGCUCUGGCUCCCAGGCAGAUCUCUGGGAGGAGUGGUGACAUGGAGGGGUAUAGGCUUUGAGCAGGGGUGCAGAGCCCAAGUGGCCCCAGGGCACAGCCCACCCCCUCCCACACAUGAGCUGUAGGAGCUGGAAAAAGUCUCUUUGAACUUUGGUUUCCUCACAGAUAAGAUGAGCAAGUAACACUUUUCUUUCUGUGAACAGUAAAGGAAUAAUAAUAAAUAUCAGUGGGGCAUGUGAUAGGGUCUCAGUGUAUUAUUCAAUGAGAUGAUGAUUCUUUUGCAAAAGGGCUUCUCACCUAUUGGAGAUAUGCCUGUAUCUAUGAGUGACCUAAGACGUAGUAAAGAAAUAGGACAAGUUUUGUCAUCUGAAAGAAGGGAAGACAUGGGGGAAGCCCUCCCUUCUAUUUAUUUCACAAAGAUGCUAUAAGAGCCAGCAAAAUGUGAACUGUUUGGGGGCAUAGGCAGUUUACACACCAUUUGGUCCUGUGGCUGGUGGAAGUGUGUCACUGGAGAAGAGAGCCCAAAGGCUUCAUGCCCACCACCUGGCUGGCUUUCUGCCAGACUAAGUGCCACUCUUUGCCUGUAUAGGGCUUUAUAAGAGGUCAGGGCCCAUUUGCCUGAAGCAAGCUUCCCCUAAAGCUGACUGGCUUCUUCAGCCACAAGUCUCCCAGUGUUAAUUGGCAGAUUGAGGUCCCCUUCUCGGGGCUCUUCUUUGUCCCUGGGAGCAGAAUCAGCAGGACAGAGGGAUGUUAGAGUGUAGGGAGCUGCCUCAGUCAGUUAGAAGGGGCCACCUGGCUACUGCUAGCCCAAGGUGGUUCCAGUAGAUAACAACUCACUUAUAUCGCUGUGGAGGCAGAGUGGUUAAGGGGAAAGAAAGAGCAUAGGCUUUGUCUUCAGACAGACUUGGGCUCCAGUCCUACCCUCACCACUUACAGUGUGAUCUCAAGCAAGUUAGCACAGUUCAUUGAACCUGAAUUUUUUAUUCUCUCUGAAAUUGAACUUGUAAUUGCUUCCUCACAGAAUUGCUACAGUACUAAACAAGAGACUACAGUAAGUAGCUCAGUGCCUUACAAAACAUGGCCCUAAAUGUUACUUUUCCUCUCCUCAGCCUCAACACUACCUCCUGUAGGUAGGUUAGCAGGCCUCCAGUUAUGAAUCUGUGUCUGAGCCUAGAACCAUAUAGGAAUGGAAGGGUGUGUGUCCUUCCCCAUCUCCACUGAAGGUUCUGUAGUAGCUAGGGAGGGUAAUUCUCAGACCUUGUCAGAAGAUAUAAGCAUUCCCAACUAUCUUUUUUUUUCUCUCCACUGCCCCUGCCCCCUGAAAAUUAAAACAGCUCUAUUGUUUUUGCUUAGUAUAAAAGUAAUCCAUGCUCAUUAUAAAAGAUUCAGACAUUGUAAGAGAUUCUAGGCAGAAAGUUAUGAACAUCUGCUCCCUGGGGCUCCAUUGCUAAGCAGAAAACUUGUAGGAGAGGGAGUGCCCCCCAGGGUGACUGUAUUUCUACAGCAUGAGAAUUGUAAAUGCAGAGAUGAUAUAUUAUUUUAUAAUGUAAAAAUAACAGUUUUUUUCCUUAUUAUAAAAAAUAAUAGAUGUUUAUGAUCAAAAGAGAAUUUCAAGCAAACGAAAAACAUAAAAAAUGAAAAAGCACCCACAAUUCCACCCACCCCAAAACAAUCACUGUUAAUUCUUUGAAACAUAUCCUUUUAUUUAUUUUUGUUUGCUUGUUUUAUUUUUGUUUUUACUUAGAGUUAGAGAGCACACACACACUGGAAAGGGGCAGGGAGAGGGAGAGAGAGAAUCUUAAGCAGGUGCCACACUCAGUGUAGAGCCCAAUGCAAGGCUCUAUCUCAUGACCACAGGAUCAUGACUGUGAGAUCAUGACCUGAGCUGAAGUCAAGAGUCAGGCACUCAACCAAUUGAGUCACCCAGGCACCCUUGCUUGUUUGUUUUAUUUUAGAGAGAGAGAAAGCGGGUGCACAUAUGGGUUGGGGAGAGGGAGAGAGGGAGAGAGGGAGAGAGGGAGAGGGAGAGGGAGAGAGAGAGAGAGAGAGAGAGAGAGAACCCCAAGCAGGCUCCAUGCUUAGCACGGAGCCUGACGCAGGGCUCAAUCCCAUGACCGUGGAAUCAUGACAUGAGCUGAAAUCAAGAGUCCGAUGCUUAACUGACUGAGCCACCCAGGAGCCCUGGAACGUAUCCCUUUAAAUCUUCUGUGUAUAGCUGUGUGUACUCAUUCUGUAACAGAAGUAAAGCCACUUUGCUCAUUCUCUCAGUAGGUAAUGAUUAAUAUUUGGGAUAAUAAUACUUUUUUUCAAAAGUAAUGCUUGUUUAUUAAAAAAAAUCCAACAUAAACAAGUGCAUAGAGGCAUAGAGGAUUUUGCUUCUAUGCUUCUAUCCUUUUCUUCUGCUUCCCUUUUCCUCCCUUUUCCCCCAUCCCACUCUUAGCAAUUUAGUUUGAUUCAGGCUUUAAAAAGUGCCUAGCUGAAUGCAGGAAUGGUGGCAAAGGUCAGGGUGGUUGUCAAAGGAUCCUUACUAUUCCUGUUCCUCAGGAGCCAAAUGCCAACAGUGUGGCCUGGAACACCCAGUGUGAGGACAUGCUCUGCUUCUCGGGAGGAGGCUACCUUAACAUCAAAGCCAGCACCUUCCCUGUGCACCAGCAGAAGCUACAGGGCUUUGUGGUUGGUUACCAUGGCUCCAAGAUCUUCUGCCUCCAUGUCUUCUCCAUGUCGGCCGUGGAGGUGCCGCAGGUAACCAGGGUGCUUGUCAGCUCUCAGCUGUGGCAGGGCAGACAAGACCCAGGAAGCCAGGCUAUGCAUUUGUGUAUCGGGUGGGGGAUGGAUGGUGAGGAGAGAGGGAAGAGAGAGGAGUUGCAGUUAUGAUGUCAUGGAAGGUACUCUGGACGAGAACCUGAAACUCUGUCUCUACCUUAUACAACCUGUGUG